UACGUAGGGGGCAAACGUUGUUCGGAAUUACUGGGCGUAAAGCGUGUGUAGGCGGCCACGUAAGUCGGAUGUGAAAGCCCUGGGCUCAACCCAGGAAAUGCACUCGAUACUGCGUGGCUAGAGUACUGGAGAGGUUGGUGGAAUUCUCGGUGUAGAGGUGAAAUUCGUAGAUAUCGAGAGGAACACCGGUGGCGAAGGCGGCCAACUGGACAGAUACUGACGCUGAGACACGAAAGCGUGGGGAGCAAACAGG
rnacentral:rRNA from 1 species